rnacentral:rRNA from 1 species
GCAAAGAAUAUUCCUUGUACCUUUUGCAUCAUGAUUCAGCCAGUAAAAUACAUGCAAAGAGUCCUCUAGUUUGUAACCCCGAAACCCGACGAGCUACUCCGGGACAGCCUAUUAAGGGCCAACUCGUCUCUGUGGCAAAAGAGUGAGAAGAUCCCCGAGUAGAAGCAAAAGACCUACCGAGCCGGGUUAUAGCUGGUUGCCCGACAAAUGAAUAAAAGUUCAGCCCCGCACAGCCCAAUUCAUAAUAGUCCUACUCAAAAAGAUAAAGAGCUAUCAAGCGGGAGUUAAUCAGAGGAGGUACAGCUCCUCUGAUAUAGGACACAACCUUAUUAAGGAGAUUAAAGAACACAAUUAAACAAGGCCACAGGUCUCAGUGGGCCUGAAAGCAGCCACCAGACCAGAAAGCGUUAAAGCUCAGACCAAAAUAAGCCUAUUAUUAUAUUAAAUACUCCAAAAUCCCUCUCACAAGCGGGCUUUUCUAUGCCCCCAUAGAAGAAAUUAUGCUGAAAUGAGUAACAAGAAGUUUGAACUUCUCCACGCACAAGUGUAAAUCGAAUUGGACCAACCACCGAUGAUUAACGAACCCAACAACAGAGGGCCCUACAUCACCGCCACCACAGGCCAAGAAAAACAUAUUUCCCAAAAUCGUUAACCCCACACAGGAGUGCCCAGCCAAGGAAAGACUAAAAGAAAAAAAAGGAACUCGGCAAACCUAAACCCCGCCUGUUUACCAAAAACAUCGCCUCUUGCAUCUCCUGUAUAAGAGG